rnacentral:rRNA from 2 species
GGGGAGCAAACAGGAUUAGAUACCCUGGUAGUCCACGCCGUAAACGAUGUCAACUAGUUGUUCGUCUUAUAAACAAGGUGAGUAACGCAGCUAACGCACUAAGUUGACCGCCUGGGGAGUACGGCCGCAAGGUUAAAACUCAAAUGAAUUGACGGGGGCCCGCACAAGCGGUGGAGCAUGUGGUUUAAUUCGAUGCAACGCGAAGAACCUUACCAUCCCUUGACAUCCAGUGAAUUUUCCAGAGAUGGAUUAGUGCCUUCGGGAACACUGAGACAGGUGCUGCAUGGCUGUCGUCAGCUCGUGUUGUGAGAUGUUGGGUUAAGUCCCGCAACGAGCGCAACCCUUAUCCUUAGUUGCCAGCACGUAAUGGUGGGAACUCUGGGGAGACUGCCGGUGAUAAACCGGAGGAAGGUGGGGACGACGUCAAGUCAUCAUGGCCCUUACGGGAUGGGCUACACACGUGGUACAAUGGCGCAUACAAUGGGAAGCAAGCUAGAGAUAGCAAACGGAUCUCAAAAAGAGUUUGGUAGUCCGUAUGGGA